rnacentral:misc_RNA from 1 species
AAGUCGUAACAAGGUUUCCGUAGGUGAACCUGCGGAAGGAUCAUUAACACGAUCUAAAAACUUUACAAACCCGUGUGAACCUGUGGUUCUGCAAAAAAGAGAUUGAUAGAGGAGCUUCGCGCUCCUUUAUUUUUCUUCUUUUUUUCUUACCCUUUAUUUUUUCCUACCCUGAAACCAAAAACCCCCUUGUGGGGGGCAUCAAAAACCAUAAUUCGAAAAACGAAACCUAAAAACAAAACACAUAACUCUUAGCAAUGGAUAUCUUGGUUCCCGC